UAAAAACCCAAACUCACAGGUGCCCCUGGGGAGAAUAGGGAAUCAGGUGCAAGUCCUGAACGGUCCCACCACUGUAAACGGGUAGUUGAACACCGGUAUAUACCACUGGCCCUCGGCUGGGAAGGUAGGUGUCGUCAGCCAUGAUCCGUGAGUCAGGAGACCUGCCUGUGGAGUUUUCAUCUG
rnacentral:ncRNA from 2 species